rnacentral:rRNA from 2 species
UACGUAGGGGGCAAGCGUUAUCCGGAUUUACUGGGUGUAAAGGGAGCGUAGACGGCGAAGCAAGUCUGGAGUGAAAACCCAGGGCUCAACCCUGGGACUGCUUUGGAAACUGUUUUGCUAGAGUGUCGGAGAGGUGAGUGGAAUUCCUAGUGUAGCGGUGAAAUGCGUAGAUAUUAGGAGGAACACCAGUGGCGAAGGCGGCUCACUGGACGAUAACUGACGUUGAGGCUCGAAAGCGUGGGGAGCAAACAGG